rnacentral:lncRNA from 1 species
UAGAUUAUAGAUGUUGGCCUCAAAGUUAUCCUACAAUACAUAUUUUGACAUGAAUAACAUUAUAUACAAAGAAAUUUUUUCAAGUGAAAAUUAAAAUAACAAAUAAUUAAUUUGUAACCAAAAAGUACAACCUUACAAAUACUAUAAUAGCAAAUUAUAUGUUAUUCUUUAAGCCAAUAUAUUUCUCUGUUACUUAUCUGUACUUGAAAUUUCACAAGUAUCCGUUGGCCAUAAUAAUUGAAAUCAGGUGCAUGCAACAAACUAGAUAAUAAUGAAAUUAAAUAGAAAAAGAGAAAGUUUAAAUAAAACAUUUGUCUUCUCUAACUUCUCAGCUAUUACUUUCUUUUCAGCUUAUAUUUUCUUUUA